UACGUAGGGUGCGAGCGUUGUCCGGAAUUAUUGGGCGUAAAGAGCUCGUAGGCGGUUUGUCGCGUCUGCCGUGAAAGUCCGGGGCUCAACUCCGGAUCUGCGGUGGGUACGGGCAGACUAGAGUGAUGUAGGGGAGACUGGAAUUCCUGGUGUAGCGGUGAAAUGCGCAGAUAUCAGGAGGAACACCGAUGGCGAAGGCAGGUCUCUGGGCAUUAACUGACGCUGAGGAGCGAAAGCGUGGGGAGCGAACAGGA
rnacentral:rRNA from 1 species